rnacentral:rRNA from 1 species
UACGAAGGGGGCUAGCGUUGCUCGGAAUCACUGGGCGUAAAGCGCACGUAGGCGGAUUGUUAAGUCAGGGGUGAAAUCCUGGAGCUCAACUCCAGAACUGCCUUUGAUACUGGCGAUCUUGAGUCCGGGAGAGGUGAGUGGAACUGCGAGUGUAGAGGUGAAAUUCGUAGAUAUUCGCAAGAACACCAGUGGCGAAGGCGGCUCACUGGACCAUUACUGACGCUGAGGCACGAAAGCUAGGGGAGCAAACAGG